UUAUAGAAAUUAUGUAUCUCGCCAAGCGCUCCGUUAUUAAACGAAUUAUUCUUAAUUCAAAACUUUCAUAAUCGUCUAAGCUUAGAGUAGAAAUAAAAUGAUGUAUUUAAGAAUUAUGAUACACAUCCGGAGAACCGGAUGCGUCGCUCUUAUGAGCUUCAGGAAACCACUGCAGAAUUGGAGGUUCCUUUUCUUCGCUGUGAGAUCUUGAAUGAGAUUUCAAAACCAGAAUGAACAAAGAAACACGGGGACCAGACAUAAAAUGUAAUUGUCAAGAGUGGCAUUGGAGAGUGUCAGAAUGCGCUAAUCGUCUAGCAAGCAGGAUCAACUUUCACAUAUUGUAACAACUUCAUGAAGUUCUCAACAAGCAGGAAGCGUUAUUAUCCCAAGUGACAAGUGGUUUUAUUUUAAGCUAGAAUUUUUUCUAAAAGAACGUGAUACUACUAGAAAAAUGUUACGCGUUACUUACGUUUUACUUCAGUUUGAAAGUUAUAAGGAAUCAAGAAAGCAUUGGAAACGCUCUCUUCAAAGGAACAGGCAAUCAGUUUAUCGACAGAUGUCAAGCGGUUAAAAGUCAGGCGAGGGAUUACAAUGUCUUUUAUAGUUUCAUAGCAUAGAGGAUCAAUGAAGUUUAUGCUUUGUCAGUGUAUAGAGUAACGUUAAGUGAAAAGAAGUUCAACUAUGCUUUUGACUUGGAGAACUUUGGCGCACGACAUACAUCAAUCAACGAAAACCAUUAAUCAUCCAUACUGUGAUACCAGUGAAACCAUGGAUAGUGGAAUCGAGAGGAAACGCGCGUCACGUAUCUCCGAGGUCAUCAGGUUCAAACGGCUACCCUCUUCCCAUGUGACUCGGUCUUCUCUUUCCUGGUUCUUGGUCACGAGACGAUUUCCACGAUGGGAAAGUCACGGUCAUGUAACGCGGGGACAUCCUUUACCGCAUCCAAAGAGAAACAGAUGCACGAGCUGGCGGUUUUCGAUGAGCAAAACGAACCGAGCCUGCACACGCACGCUUCCGCUGUAACGAACGAGUAGAGAGUAGAGGAUGCAGAGGAGACGAAACUACCAGGUCGAGAGUGAAACUUAACUGUUCGAUGCGCCAACGUGAUUGCACCCAAUUAAGAAACUCCUUGAAUCAACAGUUUUCGAACCGGUGUAUCAAGUUCCGUGAGAGAGGUUCAAGAGGCUUCCGCGAAAAUAUUCUUAAACUAAUUAACGAAAAAUGAAGACUCAAGUUCUCAGAAUGGCUAUUUAACUCGUUCACUGAAGAGCGAAGGCUGUGAACAUCUGUUGAGAAAUAGGUAAAUUGAAAUGAUGCAAGCAACUUGAGGACUGGAAAAUCACGGCUGUUCUGAAGCUCUCUGUGUAGCUGUAGCCAAGAUAUACUACGCAUCAGGAGUUUCACUCUUCAGCGAAGCCUGACGAUAGGAGCUUCUCUUCAAGCUUGUUCGACGGUCAUUAUACGAUAAUUGCAUUUAGCUUGGCUAACCAAGGUGCUGCUUCCACCUGUAGGUGGACGUUCGAAAGCGAUUUUCCUUAUCCGACGAGGGAAGCCUGGCGAAUCGAUGUUUGACGCGUGAGAUCACGGCGAAGAAAGUAGAGGAACGAUGCUCGCUCGUUAUUAAGGUCGAAGUAACGAGGAAGACUGACUGCACUCGUCUUCGUGACCAACUUCUACUGUAUUCUUGUGCAGUUGGUUUUUCUUAGACUUACACUAGUAUAAAUAGAGAAGAAAAUGAAUAGAUGGAAAAUAGAUGAUACUAUAUUUCUUCAAUAGUAUCAAUUAUCUUGUAGAUCGUAGAUCCUUUGUUCAUUUGAUCAGUAUAGUUAGGAAUAGAAACUGCUUAAUCGUACAGUAUUCAAGAACCAAUUCGAAUUAAUCGAUUCACCGAGGGCAAACACUUUUCCGAAUGAACCGCGUUUAAAAUUAAUACCACACUUUUUCUCUCGGCGAAACUUUCUUCUCAUCACGCCAAUCUCCCAUCGUUGAUUCACGAAGCAUUAUUAUUUACUGUGAACAUCAGAUGUUUGGUUCGUUAGGGCUGUCGUGAAAGGUUCCAUCAAUUGAUCACGUAUAAAGUUGCAUGGACGAUUGACGGGUUGUGCUACUUCCGGUGUGUCGUGCAGGAGAACGGAGAAAGUAAAGGUCGUGGACGAGGUGAAUCGCGACCCCGAAGAUCCACGGAUGUGCUGGUUCCCUUGAAUCUCAUCUUAUCCUUAGAAAGCAUCUUCCUUCUUCCUUCUUCCUUCUUUCUUCUUGUUACCUCUCAGGCUCUCUUCGUUUCACGAUGCUUAUGUUAGAAAACCACGCUUUCAUCUAGCGCGAGAAAAUUAAUGUCUACUCGAGGAUUGUGUAAGUACUUACUUGUCUCUGAAUGGAGUGUGACGGUGGGAAUUGAAAGGGAUAUCUUUGCACUUUUAUUUGGGUUACCUCCCAGUGGGUUGGGUUCAGGAAGGAACUAACAUCUCCUCAAGAAACAGUUCAACGAAGAACUUAAAUUGAAUGAAGGUACGGAUAAAAAAAGGUGUAUUUUAUUGUCGUAACAUACACAAAGAUUGUACAAAAAUAUCUGUAUGUAUAUACCUGUCUAAACAAUUGUUAUUUACAAGUAAAAAAAAUGAUUACAUA